rnacentral:lncRNA from 1 species
AGCAAACCACUUGUGCUUUUUGAUAGGUAAAACCGCGCCUCCUUUCUCUCAUGGUCUUCAUUUGUGUUUAUUGCUUCACCCUAUUAACGACGAAUUUCUGUGAUUCAGUUCCUUUUAUCGCGUUUGCCUUCUUCCAUUUAGCUUCAGCAAGAUUCUUUUUUAAUUGUAAAACUUCUUUUUGUUGAAAUCUUUCCGACAUGUGCUUCAAUUUAUUCAGGUAUUUCUUAAAGCUAAAUUGUGUAUUUUGUGGGAAUUAGGUUUAAAGAUAAGAGAUGUAGUAAUUGUCGUAUUUUGUUUCCCAUGUCUGUUUAAUGUGAUAUUCAUUAUCUUUUCUUUUUCCUUGCUAAUGAAUGGGACAGUUGCUAGAACAAACAAAGGGGCUUUCUUUAAGGGCUUUACAGAGAUUAUGUGUCGCAGCUUCUUUAUAUGCCACCUUUAUUAUUGCUUGUGCUUUCCUUGGUGACGGGUCUGUUUCUCUAAAUAUUUUUGCAUAUUUUGUAAAAAAAAAAAAAAGCAUUUUCUUACAUUUUUUAUGUGGUACUAAUAUUUGUUGUCAUUAUUUUGAUAUGUUUAAUAUUGAAUUCUAAUUAUUGUGAUACAAAUAUUAUCGGAUGGGUCCAAGUAUGAUUUCACUUUUACUAAUUGUAGGCGGUGUUGCUCUGAUGGUAAGCAACCCCCACUUCCCAACCUCGGUUGUGAGUUCGAGUCUCCCAAGAGCAAGGUGGGAAGUUCUUGGAGGGAAGGAUGCCGGGGGUCUAUUUGGAAACAGUCUCUCUACCCUAGGGUAGGGGUAAGGUCUGCGUACACACUACCCUCCCCAGACCCCACUAAGUGGGAUUAUACUGGGUUGUUGUUGUUGUUGUUGUUGUUGUUGUAAUUGUAGGCGGUGUACUACGAAGUACAUAAGAUUUGGGAGUACAACAAUAUUGGGGUAUGUCUCUGUUUCUCUUUCAACCUUAGAUUCUUGUAAAACAUUUCUUUUCUGCAUUCUAUAUGAUUUCAUGUUUGUGCCAUUUCUUUCUCAGUAUAUUUUGCCAAGUCAACAUGGAACUUUACUCAUCCUACAUUGUUUAGGCUGCCUAUAUUUAUUUCAGAGGCACAAGGAUAUUUGGUGUUAGCGAAAGGAUUAUAGGAUGCAAAGAAUGUACGUAAAUUUAAAUUAUAGUUGAAAUAUUUGCUGAGUAUAUUAGAUUUAGGAAAACCUAUGCAAAAGCUAAGAUAUUUAAGAGCAAUUAAUUUUGCUGGGCAGCGGAUUCUGCUAAUAGAUAUACAGGAAUGCUACUGUGAUCGCUUCAACAAUUUAUUUAUUGCCUAAAUCUCAUAGAAUGGAGUACUUGGUUGAUGCUGAUUCCUUUAUCCCUGUGUAAGAUGUUUAAAGAUUUUUCAUUUUCUUUACACGCAAGUGGUUCUAUAUGUUUAAAAUUGCUAAGUAACUUUGAGAUUCUUUGUCUCUAAUAGGAAAAAUCUUAUGCUAACAAAUUUGUUGGAGUCACUUCUUUUGAGAUGUUAUUACUUUAUAUCUAUUAUUCUUUUCAGAUAAACUAAGCAUUUACAUUGAUAAGCACGUACCAAAAAAAAGGCCGAGACAUUGUUAUCGUUCUUUCUUCUCGGGUAUAAGUGUGAUAUAGACCUAUUUGCUUGAUUCUUCCUUCUCUAAACUCAUGCUCACCAUAGUUUUUCUUCUUUCCAAGUUCUAUUUUUAUUGCUUAUUGAUAAAGUAAAAGUGUCUUUUCUGAUUACUUUGCGCACAUUAUUCCAGUUUGAUUAUAUACUUGAUUGAUGAUGAAAGCGAAAAACUUAUCUUUUUCCUAAAGCAUCUCUGAUUUGCUCCUUGUUUAUUCACUUUAAUCUUUCUUCCUACACUUUUCGUAAAACAUCUCUAAAAUGAUAGCUUUUCUGGUAGAUGAAUUGAAUGGUUGUAUUGACGCACCUCCUGACAAGGAGAAAAGAAAGAAGGAAGUUCAAAAUUUACAUAUUUUAAAGAAGAGAAAGUACAGCUUAGGGCAAUUACCAAACUUAUAAUCUUAGUUGUAACAGGAGGGAAACACACUAUAUUUGCUGGGUGCCUCAUUUUUAUUAUUUUGAAUAUAUAUCUUAUCCAUGAGCAAUAAUUGGUCGUAGUUAUAGAUUUUUGCCAGAUCCUAAAUAUAGAUAAUGGAGUAGCUUGCAAUGAUAGCAGUUCAUCCAUCACCACUGCUGUAAGGGGAUCCUACAAAUUAUAGGUCUUUAACUAGACUAAAUGCUUCUUGAAUGCGCUGAGAUGGAAACAAUAGUGCUGAGACGGUAGAAAAAAGCGAUGAAGAUGUUUCCUGCAAAAACUGGCUUUCUUGCUGAUCUCAGAUUCGUAAAUCGGGAAGAACCAUUAUAAUGUGGUAAGUGUCAUACCUCUUGAAUGAUAUUUUACAAUUGCACUAUCACUUCUCCCAACUGAAACUAGCCUUAGUGGACUAAAGUAUUAAGUACUUUUGAGUAUAAAAAAAUUCUAGAUGGAAAAGAUCAGCUUCGUUUCUCUUCUUUAGAGGGAGUUGGCACAAAGAACACAUGCAGUGUAUUAGCAGUAGUGGAACAGUACUUCUAUUUAGUUCUUCCAAUCCCUCUACAUAGUUAUUUGAUUGCUCGCAGAGAUGGAAUGCUUGAAGAAUAUUGUUUAUAUAAACUAAUGUUUCCCAUAGAAUAUGCCAAAUAUUCUAAGAUAUCUGCAAAAUGAAAAGUCUGCAACAAGAAAUGGGAUGGAGGGAGUAAUUAAAUCAAUAUACGUAAGAUACAUGACAUUUUCAUCAAAUGGAUCACGAAAUGGAUUUGUACUAUAUACAAAGAUGGCUGCUUACUAAAAAAAUCUCCUUUACGUGGUUCUUCAACAGAGAGUACUUUUGACAUCCCGAGUAGGUUUGCAAGUAGUGCUGCUCUGGUCCUCUUUUUGUUGCUCCUUGAGCUAUUAAACUAUUAUGGAGUAUCAUAUAUUUUAUAGCGUAUAACUAUCGAUUUGGAUUUGUAGUACUAUUUUAUUAUAAUUGAUUUUCUUUCAGUGGAAAAGCAUUAUUUACCUGUGCAUGUAAAUGGAGUCGUACUUAAAUAUUUAUAUCCUUACAGGUCACCAAAGAUAUCCCUUCCAAGAGUUAUUUCAUCCUUGAGAUAUUUGAUAUACAAAAGAUUUAUUCCUCGACAAUUCUUUUGACAUUAUACAGGUUGUAGUAGAAUAUGAUGCUUUAACUCGAACAAGAGGGGAGAGAAUAGUAUUAGUAUAUCUUAGUUCAAUCUGUUGCCAGCCAAAGCCUGGAGAUCCUGAAGACUUAUUCACCUCUUUGGGUGUAUUGCUCAAUCUUUCUAGGCAAUAGGUGCACGUGUUUUACUCAAAAAAAAGAAGAUAGAUCCAUGUGUAAAGAUCGUAACUGUCAAUUGUUUACUUUUUCAAAUUUUAUGCCUUCUGCAGUAUGUUUCUUAAUAUUUCUUUGGAAGAUGUUUCAUUUGAGUGAAAAAAAUGACAGAAAGAUCUCAGUUGAUGAGUUUUGUGAUUUGAGCACCUAUGCGUGAUAUAUUAUUUUGACUCUAAGAUACUUAUU